rnacentral:rRNA from 1 species
AUACGGAGGGUGCGAGCGUUGUUCGGAAUUAUUGGGCGUAAAGAGCAUGUAGGCGGUCUGUUAAGUCUGGUGUGAAAGCCCGGGGCUCAACCCCGGAAGUGCAUUGGAUACUGGCAGACUUGAGUAUGGGAGAGGAAAGCGGAAUUCCGAGUGUAGGAGUGAAAUCCGUAGAUAUUCGGAGGAACACCAGUGGCGAAGGCGGCUUUCUGGACCAAUACUGACGCUGAGAUGCGAAAGCGUGGGGAGCGAACAGGAUUAGAAACCCGGGUAGUCC